rnacentral:rRNA from 1 species
AUACGUAGGGUGCGAGCGUUGUCCGGAAUUACUGGGCGUAAAGAGCUCGUAGGUGGUUUGUCGCGUCGUCUGUGAAAUUCCGGGGCUUAACUCCGGGCGUGCAGGCGAUACGGGCAUAACUUGAGUACUGUAGGGGAGACUGGAAUUCCUGGUGUAGCGGUGAAAUGCGCAGAUACCAGGAGGAACACCGGUGGCGAAGGCGGGUCUCUGGGCAGUAACUGACGCUGAGGAGCGAAAGCAUGGGUAGCGAACAGGAUUAGAUACCCUGGUAGUCCAUGCCGUAAACGGUGGGCGCUAGGUGUAGGGGUCUUCCACGACUUCUGUGCCGUAGCUAACGCAUUAAGCGCCCCGCCUGGGGAGUACGGCCGCAAGGCUAAAACUCAAAGGAAUUGACGGGG